UGGGGAAUAUUGCACAAUGGGCGCAAGCCUGAUGCAGCCAUGCCGCGUGUGUGAAGAAGGCCUUCGGGUUGUAAAGCACUUUCAGCGAGGAGGAAGGUGGUGAACUUAAUACGUUCAUCAAUUGACGUUACUCGCAGAAGAAGCACCGGCUAACUCCGUGCCAGCAGCCGCGGUAAUACGGAGGGUGCAAGCGUUAAUCGGAAUUACUGGGCGUAAAGCGCACGCAGGCGGUUUGUUAAGUCAGAUGUGAAAUCCCCGGGCUCAACCUGGGAACUGCAUUUGAAACUGGCAAGCUAGAGUCUCGUAGAGGGGGGUAGAAUUCCAGGUGUAGCGGUGAAAUGCGUAGAGAUCUGGAGGAAUACCGGUGGCGAAGGCGGCCCCCUGGACGAAGACUGACGCUCAGGUGCGAAAGCGUGGGGCAGCAAACAGGAUUAGAUACCCUGGUAGUCCACGCUGUAAACGAUGUCGAUUUGGAGGUUGUGCCCUUGAGGCGUGGCUUCCGGAGCUAACGCGUUAAAUCGACCGCCUGGGGAGUACGG
rnacentral:rRNA from 1 species